CCUAUAUGUCUCCUGAAAACUGAGAGUAGCAGAAGGGAGAGAAGUGUAAGCUAUUGGCUACAGGGCUACAGCUGCACUCCAUCUCAUCAUUUAGCAGGGCUAAGUUGCUUACCUAGCUACAUCUGGGGGCUACUUAACUGGGAGUAGUGCUUUCAGCUGGCUAUUCUGGAAGGACAGGAAUUGAUGAGAAAAUGGGAGUGAACAUAUAUGGCAACAACCUGCAAGCAUUCAUUUCUAUGAGGGCACAGAGAAGAUGAAGCCAUGCCCUUUUCAGUGGUGCCUCAUUGCCAGUACAAGAGGCACUGGGUGCAAGCUGGAACAGAGAAGGUAACAUCUGAACAUCAGGAAGCACUUCUCUACCAUGUGGACAACUGAGCACUGGCACAGGUUGCCCACACAGGCUGUGGUGUCUCCUCCUUGGACACCUUCAAAACCCACCUGGACGUGACGUGCUUUGUGUGGCCCUGCUUGAUCCAGGGGGUUGGACCAGGAGGCCUACAGAAGUGCCUUCCAACUUCAGCCAUUCUCUGAAGUAGUUCCAUAAAUAUAUGGCAUGGGAAGUGACAUGGCCUGGCGGAGAAGGAAGAAGCCUGAUUUUCUGCCUUCUCUAUUCAAGGCAGUUAUUCUGGGGGUCUUGCUGUUUCUGUCCUCUCCUCUGCAGCUCGAGGCUGAGGUGCGUAGUGGUGAUAGAUAGCUUACUGUAGUAAUAUACCAGGAGCACUGUCAAGGUGAAUCCAAAUGAAAAAUAAAGUUGCCUAUUGUUAAUUACUUAUUUAUGAAACAGAGCUCUAAUGAGAUUAGAUUUCUUAAGAACCUUUAAUAUGGGUUCUUUUGUUUUCUGAGAAUUUUCUGAACUUUAGAAUACUCGGAGAAUUUAGAGACACCAGAAGAGUAAAUGAUUUCUAAAAUCCCAUACUGUUUUUUUUGAAUAGCCUCUCUUCCCUCCAUCCUUAAGCCCACAUUGGGAAAACCAGGGAAAUCAAGUCCUGUUAUGUGAACGGUUCAUUUCAACAAGCUGAUUCUUUGUAGAAAAGUGGUAGUUUAGCACUUUUUGGCAAAGCAAACCUAACUACUUAGUAUCUUUCCAUUCUCCAAAGAUCUUUGAGAUCUACUGAUUAAAAGUUCUGACAAAGGUGAUGAUAAAGUUAUUUGUCAUGGUGGCAACUGAAAAAUAACACAGGAAUUCAUGUAGAAAUUAUUGAUGUAUUGUUAUAACACUGAGACAGCUCAAGUGAAUAAGUAAUGUGGGAAUAAUUGACAGAAAGUGAUGCAAGUAAUCUAAAUCGCGUUCUAAUUUUGAAGUCUGUCAGUAGAGAUGUUUUAAGAAAUACAAUUUAUGGCCUGUGGGAAAUCCAAAUUGUUAAACUACAAAGCAUAUUAAAAUUGUAUGGAGAAUAAAAAGGCAAAAUGAUGAAUAUUUUCGCAUAACGAAAUGUUUCCAGAAAUAUGUACCUAAAAACAAAGAAACAAACUCCAUGCAUUAUAAGUGUUUUAAAUUUUUAAGUGAUUCUGCAUAUUAAUGUAAUUUUCCAUACUGUAAAUAACAGCUCUGAAUUAAGCAAGAAGUAUAUAAGAAUACUCUUAAUUUUCUUACUUAAAUUGGUUGAUUUAAAUUAAGUGGUUUUGAAUUAAGUUACUUCCUGAAAGGAUUAUUUUUUGGUUAAGACCUUAUUACUGUUCAGUUUUUAUCCUUGUAUAAACACAUACAGUAUCAGUAGUUCCUUCCGGUAAUUUCAUGAUCACUAUGUGAUAUGCGUCUAUGUAAAACUUGUGAAAGUAUUUGUCAACAAACCAAAACCUCUUCAUACAAAAUAGCAUAAAAGAUGUCAUCAGAGAUGUCUUGA